ACAAGCACUAAACAUGGUAAACAAGAAAUACCAGAGCUUAUGUUUUUCAAAUCCGAGGUGAAAAUCAUAUAUGUCGCGUCUAAAUCUUGUGCUAUUUAUACUUUCUCGUCCAAUAGAUAUACGGGAAAUGAAUCCCGAGUUUAUCUGCGAAUAAUAAAAGUGUGACAAAAGAUGCUAUUUAAACUAAUACAUCAAGAAAUAUAAAUGCUACGAAAAAUCAGAUGAUGUUAGUUAAUUAAAAGAUAACAAUAUAAAAGAUACAAUUAAUUGAGUAAAGAAUUAGUCAUAAAUGGUUAUGCAAGAUCAUAAUUAAGAUGAGGAAAUUGAUUUGUAAUCAUACAAGCAGAUAAUUAAUUGGUGAGAAAAUAACAAAGGAUUUAUAUAGUAAUUUCUAUAAAAUGACAAUCAUUUGAGCUGUUAAAAGGUAAAAAUAAUACUGCACUAGCAACACUAUGAGUAAUUAUGAGAUAUUAUUCAACAUAUAAAUGUAACACACACACACACAAAAAAAAAAAAAGUAUAUAUUGAAGUGACAAAAUGAUUAUGCAAAAAGGUCAAAAUAGUUUCGUGAUCACAUGAAGUAAACUAGUAGCUUAGCAAAGAUAGGUACAGUACAUGAAGGUCAAAAUUGAGUGUCAACAAACGUCAACGUCAAACCAAAGAAGGAACCUGAAAAACAAAGAAGAAGGCAAAAAGGCAACAGAUAAGAAUCAAGGCAAUGCUCUGAAACAAACAUAAUAAUGAACAAAGCAAAGGACAACAGCAUUAACACCAAAGAAGAUGGAAAAAAAAGCAAGCAAUUUGCAGCAUCAGAAUAAAGAACAAAACAAAGGGCAACAACAGCAUGUUAAUACCAAAUGAAAAGCUGGUGGAUAUAAAAGGAGAAAAAGGAAUGGAAUCUAGUUAAGAAUACAAUGGAGAGUGAUCAACAUAGCAACAGUAAUAUUCAACAAAACAUUCAGAACAACAAUGGAAAUAACAUACGUCAAAAUCAUCAAGUAAAAACUGACAAGUCAUAUGCAGUUUUGGAUAAUGAGGGAAAGGAACAAAGCGCGGGUGACGAUAAUGUAAUGGAAAUAAACAAGGAGACAGACAAGGAGAAGGCUAAGGCAAUUGAUCUGCAUAAUGGACAGGACAUUAAGGUACAGAAACCAACACAAAUAGUUUUAAAAACAAGUACUGGGGACAAGUCCCAGGGAAAUGAUCAUAAAGAAGGGGACAUUACAAAGGAAAAAGGUAAGACAAUUAAGCAAACAAGUGAAACAAACAAUGAGAAUUAAAAUAUAGAAGAAGAGGUAUCAAAAAACCAAUAUGAAGGGAAGGAGGAUAAUUCUGACACAAAGACUCGGAAUGAAGAAAUUAUAGAGGUCAAUGAAGUGAAUGUAGGAGAUCAUCAAGCUACAGAAAAAUCAGAGGAGUUUGUUGGCACAAAAGGUAAAGAGGCAUCCAAGACAGAGGAAAUCAAGAGGAUAAUUUAGACAAGAAUAAAACAAACCCAAUUGAAGAAGCAAAAUUGAUUACUCCAGGAAAACAUGGAACCAGAACUUCACAGGUGUCCUCUUCAAAGGUGGCACCUAGAUCUGCAACAGGAAGAGAAGUGGAUGAGCAUGAAAAAGAACAACCUUGAAAUAAACAUUGAUCAUAUUGCCAAAGAAGCUGAUUUGUCCCCUAAGUAGAUUGUCAAUCUCAAAGAAAACAAUUCAAAGAGUAAAGGAGGGAACCCAGUCAAAGACAACGUUGGACCUAUCAGAUUUUUACCAAAGAGACUCACAGUCUCCAAAUAUGCCAGGCAAUGAUGAAUAAAAACCUAUUUUGAAAUAUAAGAUCAGUUAAUUCUCAAGAAGCUUUUGAGAGAUUGAUUAAUAUAAUUAGGAGGAAUCAUUAUUCUAUAAUUGGUCUGUUGGAACCUUUUCAAGAUUCAUUAGAAAUAGAUACAUAUAGUAGAAUAAUUGGUCAUCAUACAGCAAUGCCAAAUUGUUCAGGCAAAAUUUGACUUUUUUAUCAAAGGAUGUGCAGGGAACAUUGGUGUGUGAUCUGCCCAACAUUUAACUAUUAAAAUCUUGUUUCAUGACUUAAGGGAGGAAUGUUUAAUUUCAACUAUCUAUUCAUCAUGUGAUAGUGCUACAAGAAGAGAACUCUGGGAAUCUCUCACACAGACUAUUGAGAAUAUGAACUUACGUACCAUGGGUAAUUGGAGGAGACUUCAAUGUCAUAAUUUUUGAAGAAGAGAAACUUGGAGGGCUGCCAGUUUUAUUUCAAGAAGUGGAAGAUUUUGUACAAUUCAUUGGACAAAAUGGUAUUCAAGAUAUAGGAUAUGUGAGAAGUACAUACACCUGGUGGAAUAAAAGAACAGGAGGUGCAUGCAUAUUCAAGAGACUUGAUAGACUAUUAGAGUUCGUGAAUGGUUCGACUUUCACGCUUCGUGACUGAGUUCCGAGGCUAUUUGACGAACAUUCUAGGGUGAGCACUUGGAUGGAUUCGCUGCCCAGAUGACUCUUAUCUAUUCAUGUCUUUAUAUUCUAUAAUUUAGACAUUUAUUUACAAAUAUUUUAGACUUGUAUUUCCUAAAACUAUGUAGUGGCUCUUGUACUAUUUAGACCAGAUUUUGGGAUUUGAUGUAUCUUUCACACUUAUUAUAUUUAUCUAUUUAUGCUA